rnacentral:rRNA from 1 species
GAUGAACGCUGACAGAAUGCUUAACACAUGCAAGUCAACUUGAACUUCGGUUUGGGUGGCGGACGGGUGAGUAACGCGUAAAGAACUUGCCUCACAGAUAGGGACAACAUUUGGAAACGAAUGCUAAUACCUGAUAUUAUGAUUAUAUGGCAUCGUAUAAUUAUGAAAGCUAUAUGCGCUGUGAGAGGGCUUUGCGUCCCAUUAGCUAGUUGGAGAGGUAACGGCUCACCAAGGCGAUGAUGGGUAGCCGGCCUGAGAGGGUGAUCGGCCACAAGGGGACUGAGACACGGCCCUUACUCCUACGGGAGGCAGCAGUGGGGAAUAUUGGACAAUGGACCAAGAGUCUGAUCCAGCAAUUCUGUGUGCACGAUGAAGUUUUUCGGAAUGUAAAGUGCUUCCAGUUGGGAAGAAAAAAAUGACGGUACCAACAGAAGAAGUGACGGCUAAAUACGUG